UACGGAGGGUGCAAACGUUGCUCGGAAUCAUUGGGCGUAAAGCGCACGUAGGCGGCUCGUUAAGUCGGGUGUGAAAGCCCUGGGCUCAACCCAGGAAGUGCAUUCGAAACUGGCGAGCUUGAAUAUGGAAGAGGGUCGCGGAAUUCCCGGUGUAGAGGUGAAAUUCGUAGAUAUCGGGAGGAACACCAGUGGCGAAGGCGGCGACCUGGGCCAAUAUUGACGCUGAGGUGCGAAAGCGUGGGGAGCAAACGGG
rnacentral:rRNA from 1 species